ensembl:lncRNA
GGCAAUGCAAAACUAGUCCAUACAGUUUGUGCACUAUAUUCCAAGUCAUUAACAUCAUAUGAUAUUUCUCCUUUUAUUCCACAUAAGAAAGAAAAGUAUAUAGGAAUGAAUGUGAGUAAAUGAUGACUGAAUUUUCAUUUUUGGGUGAGCUAGUCCUUUAAAACGAAUGCAUUAGUGAGAGAAUAGACUAAACAUCUGGGAAGCCAAUAUUUGUGGUUCACUGAGAUUCUCUCAGACCAAAAUGUUUUGAAAUUCAACUCCCUAGAAAAUAUGCUGGAAUGCAAUGGGAAGAAGAGAAAGCAAAGUCAAGCAGCGGUACAGUUAAUGUUACAGUAGAGUAGACUGGCACGCCGGGCGCAGCUCAGUUGAUCUUUAAGACAGUUACUAUGAAUAUAACAUCUACUGCUGUGAAGAGAGGAGAACCAGAAGAAGACCAGAAAAUCCGGUUCGCAGAAGUGUGGAGUCCCUCCCAAUGCAUCUUUCUCAGAGGCAUCAUGGGCAGGGACGCACACAGAAGAACAAGGUGUGCUGGUUUUUGGCAGAUGUUUCAGCACAAGGAGCAGAUCAGCUAUUGGGAAAUCACAUUUCUGGGUGGUGGUGACAAACAGUGAGGAAAGACAUAUUAUUGUUUAUGAUUUCCAGUGAACAGUUGCAGAGACUUUAUUCCGCUAUUACUUGUUUGAAUUUGUAGUUGUCUUCCAAUUUGCUCUGCACAAAGUGAUUUUCAUACUAUUUUUGUCUUUGUUCACAAGUACAAAAUAUCUGAACAUGAUUAAAUUAAGAUACAUGUACUGAGUCUUGUUUUCUGUUAAAUGAAACAUUAAAGAGUAAGAAAAAUUAAUGUUUUCUUUUUGCUUCUCAAGUGAAUGUAUCUUAAUGUAACAAAAUUCAGUGUGGAUAGAACUGUUCCUAGUGAGCUCCCACCGUAGGCUGUAUUUGAAGAAAUGUGGAAUUGUCCUAUUAUUUAAGAAACUUAAUUAUCCUGAAAAAAAAAAAUCGUAACAUGUUAAGCCUGUUUACGGAAAAGGCAAUUUCAUAAAUUCAUAAAGCAUUUAAAAAAAAAAAAAAAAAAAAAUGAAAUUAUAAAUUUAAAGUUGGUAUAAUUUUGAGUUUGAUUUAUUUUAAUUUUUACUUUUUAAAUUUUUUUUUUACUCCAAUUAAAUAAUUAUAUAUAAUAAGUAUUUAACUGAAAAAAAAAUAUUGAAUUUAUAUAUAUUUAAUAUAUUUAUAUUGAACAGCGGGUUGCUAAUGCAACAUUUCUCAUUUUCAUUUAGUUUAACUAGAUGUUCUAAAAUAAAAUGAAAAUGAAAUGAAAUAAAAAUAUAUAG